CACAGCAGGUGGCCCUGGUUGCAGGGGAUGCGGGUGUGGGUGGUGGGCAGGGCUGGGUCGCCCUCUCCAUGCAGCCUCUCUGCAGAAGGGCUUGCUGGCCUCCUUACAGCAUGGCGGUCUCAGGGCAGCUGGAGGAUGCGGGGCCUCCGUGGGCUGCCAAACGAGCGUUCCGGCUGGCAAGGUGGAAGCUGCAGAAUCCCGACGUCUUUUCAGACCUAACGUCCCAGGCAGGAGGCAGCGCUUGGACCACAUUUUGUUGGCUGCCAGUGAAUCCCACACCUGCCCAAGUUCAAGGGGAGGAAAGUCAGAUCCUGACGCUGAUGGAGCGGUGGGUUCCAGCAGGCCAGGCGUGCCCAGAUUUGCAUCGGAGACCGAAUCCCCAAAUGUCUGUUCUGGACGAGGAAGAGAAACCCGAGCUGGUACACUUGCUGUCUCAGCCGUGCUGCCUCCAUCUCAUGACCCCAGGGAAAGGCCUUCACCAGACCCCUGCAGACACUGCCACCACACUGCCAGGCUUCCCCGUCUCCAGAGCUGGAGGUUUGGGAAAUGAACGAGGUUGGGCAAGAAAUGAGCGAGAACCGCGGCCACGGCCCAGCUCCCCUUCACGCCUCCCCCUGCACCAAUAUGGCGGCUGCUCCGAGACUCCUCACCUCUUCUCUGCACCCCGGGUGCCCUCAGCAUGAGGGUCGAGUGUGUCCCUCAGGCCCAUGUGUCCUCCUCAUCCUGGACACACACACUUCA